CAAUAGCGUAUAUUAAAGUUGUUGCAGUUAAAAAGCUCGUAGUUGAAUUUCUGUCUAGUACUACCCGAGCGAAUUUUCGUCUUCGUGGUGCAUUCUAGACAUUUCUCCAGGGAACGUUGCUGUGCUUAAUUGCAUGGUGCGGUAACUGGAACUUUUACUUUGAGAAAAUUAGAGUGUUUCAAGCAAGCAUUUGCUCUGAAUACUGCAGCAUGGAAUAAUUUUAUAAGACUUUGGUCUUAUUUUGUUGGUUUCUAAGGCUAAAGUAAUGAUUGAUAGGGACAGUUGGGGGCAUUCGUAUUUAACUGUCAGAGGUGAAAUUCUUGGAUUUGUUAAAGACGAACUACUGCGAAAGCAUUUGCCAGGGAUGUUUUCAUUAA
rnacentral:rRNA from 1 species